UACGGGGGGGGCAAGCGUUGUUCGGAAUUACUGGGCGUAAAGGGUGCGUAGGCGGCGGGGCAAGUCUGAUGUGAAAUCCCGGGGCUCAACCCCGGAACUGCAUUGGAUACUGCCUUGCUUGAGUACUGGAGAGGGAACUGGAAUUUACGGUGUAGCAGUGAAAUGCGUAGAGAUCGUAAGGAAGGCCAGUGGCGAAGGCGAGUUCCUGGACAGUUACUGACGCUGAGGCACGAAGGCCAGGGGAGCAAACGGG
rnacentral:rRNA from 1 species